rnacentral:lncRNA from 1 species
GAGAAAUUUUAGAAGACCCUUUAGUCAAACAAAUUUACAUAAAAUUUCAGAUAGAACAUAAAUCAACAAAUACCACUUAAUUGAAGACAGGGAAGAAGUAGGAAAUAGACCAUCUGGACUUGGAAAUCAUGGAUAACUCUUUUCAUCUUAUAGCUUGAAUUCAUGCAAGACAUGAAUGAUUUGAACGAUUUUUGGUUCCUGCAGAGGAAAGCAAAAACAUACUUGGCUUUAGGGUAGUUGGAGUUUUAGGUCAUGAGUUUUUACUGUGAUGUACUAAAUUUGCACACUCUUCAGACAUUGCCUUUUUGAACUAUUUGAAGUCAUCUAAAGACUCAGAAGAAUGUGUUGGGUUUUUUUAAAUGCAAUUUGUUGUUGUGAAGGCCUUUUACAUGCUAACUAUCAUUUGUAGGCUCCUAUCAACUGAUGCGGGUGAACCUGGUGUUUUCUGCAAUAUCACAAAUAAAUGUCCUUAUACAACAUUCUUACCACAUGGGAAAGUUACUGCUAGGUCUAGGAAUUCAGAAGCAGCAGUGACCUGGACCAUUUUCCCACUACUGGCCUGGGGAGCGUCCACGCUUGGGGACCCAGAACAUUCCUAUCUGCCAAGGAGUCUGGCUUCGAGCUCCAUGAAGAUAGAAACUCCUUUGUUUAGGACCUCGCCCUGUGUAUCUCUUUUUCUGGCUACGAUUGAAAUGACUACAAAAUGAGUGAUCUUUAAUGAAGCCAACUGAUAUUCUCUCCUGAAUCCUUCCUGAAUUCCUGAUCUACCAAAUCUUGAGAAUAAAAAG